UUCGAUUAGGAUUUGUUUAGGAUUUGACUAGGAUUUAUUUAAAAUUUGGUUAGGAUUUUUAAAGGAUUUGAUUAGGAUUUGAUUAAAAUUUAUUUAGGAUUUGACUAGGAUUUAUUUAAAAUUUGGUUAGAAUUUUUUAAGAAUUUGAUUAGGAUUUGAUUAAAAUUUAUUUAGGAUUUGACUAAGAUUUGUUUAGGAUUUGAUGAAGAUUUGAUUAGGAUUUAUUUAGGAUUUGACUAGAAUAUAUUUAGAAUUUGAUUAGAAUUUGGUUAAGGUUUGUUUAGGGUUUGAUCUAGAAUUUCACCAAUUAUAAAUUCAACCUUUCUAUUUAAAAUUUGCUCCUCCAAUACCUUCUUCAAAUCUGUAGCAACUUCUAUAUCU
rnacentral:lncRNA from 1 species